rnacentral:rRNA from 1 species
UACGUAGGGUGCGAGCGUUGUCCGGAAUUAUUGGGCGUAAAGAGCUCGUAGGCGGUCUGUUGCGUCCGCUGUGAAAACUCGGGGCUUAACCCCGAGCCUGCAGUGGAUACGGGCAGACUAGAGGUAGGUAGGGGAGAAUGGAAUUCCCGGUGUAGCGGUGAAAUGCGCAGAUAUCGGGAGGAACACCGGUGGCGAAGGCGGUUCUCUGGGCCGUACCUGACGCUGAGGAGCGAAAGCGUGGGGAGCGAACAGG